rnacentral:rRNA from 1 species
GAGUUGUAUUUGCAGAGGAUGUUUCGGGCGCGGCGCCGGUCUAAGUCCCUUGGAACAGGGCGUCACAGAGGGUGAGAAUCCCGUAUGUGACCGGCGACCAACCCCAUGUGAAACCCCUUCGACGAGUCGAGUUGUUUGGGAAUGCAGCUCAAAAUGGGUGGUAAAUUUCAUCUAAAGCUAAAUACCGGCCAGAGACCGAUAGCGCACAAGUAGAGUGAUCGAAAGAUGAAAAGCACUUUGGAAAGAGAGUCAAACAGUACGUGAAAUUGUUGAAAGGGAAGCGCUUGCAACCAGACCUGUCCGCGGGCGUUCCACCUCCGUUCUCGGGGGCCCAUUCGCCCGCGAUCAGGCCAGCAUCGGUUCGGGCGGCCGGAUAAAGGCCUUGGGAAUGUAGCUCCCCUCGGGGAGAACUUAUAGCCCUCGGUGCAAUGCGGCCAGCCCGGACCGAGGACCGCGCUUCGGCUAGGAUGCUGGCGUAAUGGUUGUAAGCGACCCGUCUUGAAACACGGACCAAGGAGUUAAUUAUCUAUGCGAGUGUUUGGGUGUCAAACCCAUGCGCGUAAUGAAAGUGAACGGAGGUGAGAA